CAGCCCUCCUCCCACACAGCUCCCAGGCUGAAGGUGCCUUGUGACCCAGGCCUGUGCUCCCCAUGCAUUCAGUGGCCGGUUCAGGGACCUGUGUGCCCAAACCCAGCUAAUCCCAGCCAGGAAACCUCAGUUCUGGGACUUCUGGUCAAGCUUUUGGGGCAGUGGACUCCCUUUUCUCCCAGGACGUGGGUCUGAAAGUUUAUAGCACUGAGGGGGACACCCAGUCUGAGAAGGUGGCGGAUGCAGCACAAGGUAUUGCUGAGCAAUAGAGAGAAACAGCGUUCUCAUGACAGCGUUUGAGUUCUGGAUCAAGCCGUACUUGAACCUUCCUGGAUUUAUCAGUCACUUGAAUCGAUAAGUCCCCCUUUUGUCUUAAUCUAGCCUGAGUCAGGCUUUCUGUCACUCACAGUCAAAAAAGGCCUGACUGAUAAACCCAUUCUCUGGCAUCAAGGCCUCUGUGAACCCAAUUAAUAAAGUGGUGGCUGCCUGGAUUAGCACAAAUUCAGAGCAAAAGGAAGGAGAAAAUGUUUCCAGACAUUCUACUCAGGCUUUGGGGCAUCCCUAGCCUACUUGAGGUAUUGCAGGAAAAAAAAAUCCUUCAGAAUUGGAAGACUUGAGUUUAAAACUCAGCCCUCUCACUUACUCACUAGCUGUGUGACCUUGGACAAGUCACUAAACCUCUCUGAGACUCUAUUUCUUCAAACCUCUGAAGGCUAUAAUGACAGUAAAAUGAAAUAAUGUGCAUAAAGCGCUAAGUACACAGUAGGUCCUCAAUAAAUGCACCCAUACAAUGUGGCUCAGCGCAUCUACAUCUACUUAAUUACAGGCACAUGAAGAAGACAUAUGGGGACAGAGAGGAAGGCCAGCCUGUUUCCCCAGAAUUCACUCAUUGUGGGUGCUCCCUCGACGUGUAGCUUCUGUUGGUCUUAGCAGGAAGCAGGAGGGUACGGCAGAAAGGAGCAAGGGCUUUGGGGUCAGAGAAACCUGGGUUUAAGUUCUGUCUCUGCUCUGUGACCUUAGGCAAGUUGCCUAACCUCUCGGAGCCUUGUUCCCUCGUUAGUAAAAUGGGGAAGGCAAUGGUACCUCGUAAGGAGAUAUGGGACGAAAGCACGAUGCAGCAGACACUGGACUUAGCAAGCACGCUUAUGCUCCCAGGCCUAGCCAGGCUCUUCCUCAAAGGUUGGUCCUUAAGACCCUGCCACGUUCCUGCCUCCCUGAGCUCAGCCACGCCUGUGACUUCAACUCCUCGGCCUCCCUGAUGACCGCAAAGAUCCGUGUCCAGGCCCGACCUCUCUCCAGAGUCCAGACCUCCUGGGCGCCUCCACCAGGAUGUCCUCCAGGCACUCCGAACCCAGCGCCAGGUCCUGGAUCGUCCACUGCUCCCUGUGUGAUUUGGGUCUGUCGCCUUGGUUUCUUCGCCUAUAACAUGAGCAGCUGGUAGUGGCCCUAACAUCCUAGGAUUCUCACCUCCAACAUGUCAUCUCCCCAGACUCAUCACCCCCAAAAGCAGCAGCACCGUUCUCCAGCGAAGCCCAGCCUGGAAACUCCGAGUCAGCGUGGGUUCGUCCACCUUGGUCAUCACAGCCCCCACGUCUGGGAGGGUCUGCCUCGAUAUGCUGCCCUAUCUCUACACCCCUCCUGUGGCCCCACCGUCGUCCUAGGCCAGACCCUCAGCACUACACCUCCGGGCCCCGCACCGGCUUCCCCACUCCGUCCACCCUCUGCUCCUCCCACCCAUGAACCGAUGGUCAGUGAAGGCCUGGGCAGCUUCCCUCUCAAACAGUCUUAGCGUGGAGGCUGGGCCUUCUCAUGUCACCAUCAAGACCUGGACUUCGCUGUUGACAGUGUCAGUGCCCUGGAGAUUCUUUCUAAGGUUGGGGAUGAGGAGAGAAACCUCUCGCGGGGUCCAUACUAGACGCUCAAUAAAUAUUUGUUAAAUUCAUUCAUUCAUUCAUUCAUGCUUUUCGAAACACACCCUCUGGAUGGUCAUCUCCAAUCCAAGACAGACAACGCCAGAGGUUGCUUUGCAAAUCUCGUGAAAACUAUGGGCCUUUGUUUACCUAUGUGAAUUUUGCGUAUCAUUUCAGCGGGUUCAUAGCCCCCCAAGCCCAUCUACAGAGCAAAGGUUGCCCCUGAUUGAGCUCGUUUUAUGGAUGGGGAGACUGAGACGCAAAGAGACAAAGGGACGUGUCAGAGAACAUGCAGAGCUAGUCGUCGGCCAGGCACCAGAUCAUCUUAUGAAAGAGCUGGAUCCACUCCCGGCUCCAGGUCCAGGCUUUGAGUAGUAAGUCACGUAACACCUCACGUCUUUGUGCUGUCUCCCCAUCCACGCACGAGGGACCAGGCCCGCACUGUGAGGCUGCAGAGAGAAGAUGCUGUGUACAGAGGAGCCUGGCCCAGACCCGUGUGUGGAAGACAAUUCCUGUCCCAUUCUCCUGCUUGCCUUUUCUCUUCCUUUCCUUGCAGGAUUUUGGAGCACAGAAACGUCACUGCCGUCUAAAGAGGUCAUGGAAGUCUUCGCGGAAGAGAAAAGCCCCGCCUGAGCUUCAGCUUUGGGUGCUGGAGGAGGGCAGGGGCCAAGGGUUAUUAAUAGGCCUGGCUUGAUGGGCCCAGGGCGGGCGAAUGUGAUACAGACACCCAGCACCAUCGUUGGGGAGUACCUGACACCGGAAGGGGAGGGGGCUGCGGGCCGGGGGGAGCGCCACCUCCCAAAAUAGCCAGAGCAGAAGCCUAUAUAGGUGGCCGUCCCACCACCAGGCUCACUUCCCAACAGGACCUCCCACCAACCCAGCCUUCCGGUGCAGUUCCAGCCCUCCACCCCCACCCGAGGUGAGUGGCAGCUAUGGAGGCUGGAGGAGGAUGCAGGGAGGCAGUGGGGAGGAAGCCAGCUGGAAGGGACAGUGAGACAAGGGCUGGGGGAGGGGAUGCCCAGAGGUAGGCAGCUGUGGAGUCCAGGCCUGAGAGCACGGGAUUCUUGUGCUGUCCAUCCUGUCUCCCAAGGUGACCUGAGGCAAAUCCCUCCCGCUGGCUGGGCCUCAGCUUCCCACCUGUAGAACAAGAGGGAUGGAGCCUGACAUCUGUGGACUCCGGUGAUGCCAUCAGAGGGGGCCCACGAGCUGAGUGGGCAGAGGAGGCAGGAGGAAGGAGUGUGCAGGGCUGACGGUUGAGCUGACAAUAUUGUCUGACACUUGGUGGAUGGACUGGGGCCUGAAAGCGUCCAGUUGAUGGAAGGCAGCAGGGAGAGAUGGACGAAGGAGGGAGAAGGACGCGCCUCUGUGGAGGCUCCAGCCGUUGCCACAGGGGCCCCUGUCUGGGACUCUCCAGGAGCUCGUCUGUGGCUCAGACACGUGGGACUUGAUGGGGCUGCGCCCUGAGCCCUGGGGAGGAGCUCCGGGGAGCGGGUCCCUGAACUCCAAGUCAGUCGACCUGGGAGUGGGCCCCUCUCUGCCAGUGCCUCGCUGUGCAUCCUCAAGCCAUUCACUGACUCUCUCUGGCCUCAGUCUCCCCACCAGCGUAGAAUAAGGAUCCUUCACCCGGGGAAACAGAUCCUCAGCUAGGCGCCUUGACUGAGCCGAGCCCAGGGGCUGAAAUGAUAGCACAGAAGCCCAGCAUGUUGGAGUUAACAGCCCAGCUGGGGUCGGGGCAGCAGGGGCAGCCGAGGUGUCUGGGGAAGGUCUCGUGCCGGGAGGCCAGGUCUGCAGCCUUGGCGCCUUGGAAGCCGCUGGUGGGCUGGUGCCUGAAGAAGCUGACUCACAGGGAGGGGGACAGCCUGAGCCAGCGGUGUCCUAGGGUUUCCAGGAGGGCAGCCGUCCAGGGCCGAGCCGAGGCAGACAGUGUGGACAGCCAAGGCCGGGCAACCGGAGCUAACGGACAGCUGGGCAGCUCUCUCCAGCCCGCCAAAGGCCACCAGUGUCAGCCCCUGACCGCCUGCCCACAUCUUGAGUUGAGGUCUCAAGGUUCCACCACAAGGGACCACAACACCAUCAACACAACGGAGGGAGGCAGAAGCCCAGAAACGGGGAAGGUCACCACCCAAGGUCACACAAGGAUUUAGUGCAGCCCCAAAUCUAGAACCCCAGCCUCCUGACUCCCUGUCCAGUGCUCCACACACUCUAGAGGCAGCCGGUUGCAGCCUGAGUCCUUGGGAGACCGUGGGAAAGAAUGCAAUUGGUCUCUGGCUGCACAAAGAUUAGGAAGUGUCAUGUUUCCCAGAGACGCAAUUCAGGCCAUGAAAUCUGCUUCCGUUGUCUAAAAAGUGAAUGUGCCACCUUCUCCCCAGACAUGGGCCGUCUGCUCUCCAAGUGGGGUGAGGCUGCAUGGAGAUUCCAAGUAGUCUUUCCCACCUCCCCCUCCCUCAAAGCUUUGUGGGGCAGGAGGCGUCUGGACCAGGCGCAAUCCUCUGGGGCCCAGGAGACCAGGAAAGUAGUUAGGGGGGAUCUGAGAAGAGAUCUUCGAAAAGUCAGACUAGCAAUAGGAAAAAAAAAUUAAAAAAAUCAGGAUUCAGAACGUGCAUCCUGGCCAGAUGUGGGAUGGGGCACCUGCAGGGGGCCCCAGCAGCGCCGGCCUAUCCGUGCCACCCUCUCCCAGCGUCCCGUGGGUCGGGUUUCCAGACCUCAGAGCUCAGAUUUUGCAGCAUAAAUUUGCAUCCAGGACAGACAAGAGCCGAGGCUGAGGUAGGAGCAGAGAGAGAAUGGGAACAGGGCCGAGGGGCCCACGAGGGUGCAGGCCUGGCCCCGGCCGGUCAGUAUCCUCCCAGAAGCGGCGCGACAUCCUCCGAGUUGCAGGAUGUCGAUGACAGACUUGCUCCACGCUGAGGACAUCAAGAAGGCAGUGGGGGCCUUUACCGGCGCCGAAGGCUGGGUGCCCACGCUGCGAGGACUGGGGUCCCCGACCAAGGGCGAAGACCAGGGUGGAAAGCAGGGUCUCCGGGUCCCUGUGAGCGCUCGGGACUUCCCCUUUAAGGCCCUUGGAGGGGGCUGCAGCUGCAGAAUCCUUCGACCACAAAAAGUUCUUCCAAAUGGUGGGCCUGAAGAAAAAGAGCCCGGAUGAUGUGAAGAAGGUGUUCCACAUCCUGGAUAAAGACAAGAGCGGCUUCAUCGAGGAGGAAGAGCUGGGAUUCAUCCUGAAGGGCUUCCUCCCGGAUGCCCGAGACCUGACUACUAAGGAAACCAAGACGCUGCUGGCUGCUGGAGACAAGGAUGGGGACGGCAAGAUUGGGGCCGACGAAUUCUCCGUCCUGGUGGCUGAAAGCUAAGAGGCUCUGACGGCCCCGGGUCCUCCACCUCUCCGCCCCGGACCCCUGAUCUCAGCCCCUCUUGCCACCCUCCUGCGUUUCUGUUGAGUUUGUUUAUGUUAUUUUUUACUCCCCCCUGUGCCCUGCGGCCCUCGAGUGACACCGUUCUUCUGGAAAAUGCUGGAGAAACAAUAAAGGCUGUACCAAUCGGACUCUGCUGCUCGGGAGGACUCAGGCCUGGCGGGGUGUGGGUCCCGCCGUGACUUUGCAGACACACCUGUGCAGGGGUGGGGCCGGGAUUUAGACGGUUAGAAGAGAUGGGAUGGAAGAGAAAGGUACUAAGCCUCUCUUCUGUGUUUGGUACUGAACGUGGUACUCUACGUGGGCUGCCCAUUAAUCCUUGAAACCACCCCAUAAGGUAGGCAAUGAAACUCCCAUUUUACAGAUGCAGAAACUAAGUCUUGGAGAGAAAAGUGAUGUGUCUGAGCUGACAUGGCUAGGACUUGUGGAUGGACUGAUGGAUGAAUGGAUGCCCAUUAAGACUCUUUUUGCUACAAAUGACAGAAACCCAACUCAAAAUGACUUAGGCAAAAAAG
ensembl:lncRNA